CCUACGGGAGGCAGCAGUGGGGAAUAUUGGACAAUGGGGGCAACCCUGAUCCAGCCAUGCCGCGUGUGUGAAGAAGGCCCUCGGGUUGGAAAGCACUUUCAGUGAGGAAGAACGCCUGGUGGUUAAUACCCAUCAGGAAAGACAUCACUCACAGAAGAAGCACCGGCUAACUCCGUGCCAGCAGCCGCGGUAAUACGGAGGGUGCGAGCGUUAAUCGGAAUUACUGGGCGUAAAGCGCGCGUAGGUGGCUUGAUAAGCCGGUUGUGAAAGCCCUGGGCUCAACCUGGGAACGGCAUCCGGAACUGUCAAGCUAGAGUGCAGGAGAGGAAGGUAGAAUUCCCGGUGUAGCGGUGAAAUGCGUAGAGAUCGGGAGGAAUACCAGUGGCGAAGGCGGCCUUCUGGACUGACACUGACACUGAGGUGCGAAAGCGUGGGUAGCAAACAGGAUUAGAUACCCCAGUAGUC
rnacentral:rRNA from 1 species